UAUGGAAUCUUCCGCAAUGUGCGAAAGCCUGACGGAGCAACGCCGCGUGAGUGAUGAAGGUCUUCGGAUCGUAAAACUCUGUUAUUAGGGAAGAACAAAUGUGUAAGUAACUAUGCACGUCUUGACGGUACCUAAUCAGAAAGCCACGGCUAACUACGUGCCAGCAGCCGCGGUAAUACGUAGGUGGCAAGCGUUAUCCGGAAUUAUUGGGCGUAAAGCGCGCGCAGGCGGUUUUUUAAGUCUGAUGUGAAAGCCCACGGCUCAACCGUGGAGGGUCAUUGGAAACUGGAAGACUAGAGUGCAGAAGGGGAAAGUGGAAUUCCAUGUGUAGCGGUGAAAUGCGCAGAGAUAUGGAGGAACACAAGUGGCGAAGGAGACUUUCUGGUCUGUAACUGACGCUGAUAUGCGAAAGCGUGGGGAUCAAACAGG
rnacentral:rRNA from 1 species